rnacentral:lncRNA from 1 species
CCAAAGCUUCCUGCUUGAUUUCUUACAUGGGAUGGAUCCACCUUGUAGAAUACCGGAAUAACUCUCUGUCCAUUGUUUUUUCUACGCUCAAGAAUCUUAGCAAGCUCCUCCAAGCACCAUUUGGAAGAUGCAUAGUUUGCAGAAAAAACAAUCAAAGAAAGCUUGGCCUCUUCAAUUGUUCUCAGAAGUGAUGCCGAAAUCUCAUCUCCUCUCACAAGCUGAUCAUCUAUGAAAGUUAGGAGUUGUUUCCGUUUCAAAGCAGCAUGGAGGUGGCUGGUAAAACCAACACGAGUGUCUUCUCCCCUGAAACUAAGGAAGACAUCAUAUUUAAUUCCUUGUGGCUGGGCGGUGGUUAAGGUGGAAGGAGUAGAUGGGGAUGGAGAAACAAGGGCGGUGGUUAAGGUGGAAGGAGUAGAUGGGCAUGGAGAAACAAGGGUGGUUAAGGUGGAAGGAGUAGAUGGGGAUGGAGAAACAAGGGCGGUGGUUAAG